UUUCCCAAGGCACUGCUCUAUUCAGCUUUCUAAAGCAUCAGUAAAAUCCCCUUUAGAAAGAAAUGGUCCGGAGCAUGUUUUCUGUGGAAGUAGCCUGAAAUGGUACUUUACUGGAAAUAAGAAUCAACAAAUAGGGAGGCGAUUACUGGUGAUAGUGGUGGCGAUAAUUGCCCUGUUGACAGUCUAGAAUCUAGAGAUAGAACUGUAGAGUGGCAGAGUAAUGAAUAUAGAGGUCAGGAAGCUGUGCUGGAGUUUGAUUAAAAAAAUUUGGAUAUCCCAGGCACUGCUGAAGAUGGUCAAGAAAGCAGGGAUCUCAAAUAAAGGAAAACAAAAAGGAAACCAUAACCUGAUUUUUGCACAUAUCAUUUAAGAGUAUGAUAUAGUGCAGAUACACUCAACAAUUUUUGGCUCCAGACUACUGGCUCCUGCCUAAGGGGUCGGAGUGGCUA